ensembl:lncRNA LINC02622 long intergenic non-protein coding RNA 2622
GUCACCAGGCUGAGAGGGACGGCCCACCCAACAGAAGCCACAACAGGUCCCCAAAGAAUUUCUGCAGGCUGGGACUCCUGAGUGAAAUGAAGAAGUGGGAUUCAACAGAGAGAAAUGUGAAGUCUGCCAGCUAGGGAAUGAAAUGAAAGAACGAAGAGGAAAAUCUUAACCUGUACAGCCUCUUGGAUGAUGGGGUGGGAAGUAAAGACCUGUCCCCCAGUUUCCUGCUGCCUGGAGAAAUCUGGAAGAUCUCCUAGGGCUUUGGAGAAUGAAGGCACCCUUGUCUGGAUGCCACCACAGCCUCCUCCCUCUCACCCCGGCCUCCUCCUCCUCAUCUUCAGCCCACCAAGGCCAGAUUUGUCUUGCAAAGUGGCAUCAUUAUAAACGCAUCAGCCUCCUCUGGACGCCUGUGCCUGCUCCCGCCAGCCCAUCCAGGCUCGAUUACAUCUGAGGCUGUCUGGGGUAAUUAAGUGACAUUAGGACGCAUCCCCUGUUGUAAUGCAGUGUUCAAAGCCCUGGGCUCUUGCUUCCCAAGAGCUGCUGCCGCUGCACUGAGGCUGUGUCUGCCUAAUGCACCCCACUGUGAUUGUGGCUAAUUACUCCACAGACAGGCCUCAUUAGUGGUGGGUUCGGGAUGGAAGGUGAGAAGCAGGCUGUCUCCCCUGCCUCCCCCAGCCCACGGGCUUUCCCUCUCCCUCCGUGACCAAGCUUGCCUUACUUUGCUGUUGAGGCAGGAUUAGAAUAGGGCAAAGGAAUUCCCAAAAGACGUCUCAUCUGGGCAAGGUCAUCUACUGAGCUACAGGGCCUUCAGGAACUUUCCAACUGCUUUAUUCAACUAAUGGGAAGCCAAGGCCCAGAGGGGGUUACUGACUUGCCCAAGGUCACACAGCACAAGUGAAAUGCGCCACCUUUCCUAACUGCCCAGCUUGGAGGGGUAGGGGCAGGCCAAGUGGGAUCAUGCACAGCCAGGACCCACCUGGGUCCAGAGCUAGUGGGAGAAAGGGCUCAUGGGCACCCAGGAAAAGAGCUGGAUGGCUACGCUACCCCAGAGGCUCUUUCUGGUCUCUAGGCCUUUGCAACUGUUGCCUGGAAUCCUCUUCUGAUGCCCUCCACCUGCCACCUUGCACCUGGCUGACUCCUUUCAUCCUUCAGGUCUCGCUUUCUCCAGGAAGCCUCCCCUAACUCCUGAGUUUUGUGCUCCUCAUCCAUGCUUCCAUGAUACUCUGUACUUCCCCAUCUUGGCAGUCAUCACUCUGAAUUGUCAACACCUAAUACCCCACAUGCUAUACCCAUAGGAGGAGCAAGCUCUGAGACACUCUUGUUCAUGUAGUAGGCACUGGCCUAGCUCACAGAUGGCCUUUGAUAAGAAUUAGUAGAAGGAAAGAUGUAAUGAUUGAUGGCUGCUUGACCAGUACAAUGAGUACCAUGGUAAGGCUGUUGGUGUUCACUCACAUCUGAGAGUUUCUUUAUACUUCUCAGCCUCCCUUGCUCUUAGGUUGGUCACAUGACUCACUCCAGCAAAUGGGAUGUGAGCAGAAGGUAUAUAUGUUACCUGGAAUGAGGUGAAUAAUUACCUGGUGUGCUUUUCUACAAUCCUUGUUGCCUGAGUGAUGCCAAGAUCAUUUUGAAGCUGCAAGAUGGUGGAGCCACAAGAUGAAAGGAACCUGUAUCUCUGAGUCACCACACAGAAGAGAGACAUCUAGGAAAGCUGCUUGACAUGGGUCAUAUGAGUAAGAAAUCAACCUCACUGCGCAAAGCCACUGAGAAAUCAACCUUCCUGCACAAAGCCACCGAGAUGUUGGGGCUACUUAUUAGAGUGGCUAGUGGGAAUUACUCUGACUAAUAUAAAGGGGUUAAACUUGA